AGAGACACACGCCGCUGCUCAUGCUGGUGCGCGCCACUCCAUCUUCGGGAGCAGCGCAGGCGGGCACUCAUCCCUCUGCGCGCCGCUUCAUCUCCAGGAGCAGCGUAUCCCGCCACUCGUCGUGCCAUUUCUGGGUAGAGUGGCUGGUGGCUCCCUCUCUCUGUAAGCGCUAGGGAAUGAUGAUGCUGGCAGGGCUACUAGCUAUUAUUUUGCAUAAAUCAGCACUGUACUCAAUAUCUUUUUCAACCGGAUGUCGAACCCAGAGUAUGUGCUCUUGAUACUUUAAUUCAUACAAGAAAAUUGAGCACGAGCGGAUGAUACAUAUGCAAAGAGGUUGAGAUGGGGAUUGGCUGAAGGUGUAAGUGGUCAAACCAUGGGAAGGGUGCAGGAUAUAUUGAUGUUCAAGGAGGUUGACGCACCGGCGAUGCCCUCAUAGGAGCUGCUCAACUAAGCCUGAACCCAACGAUGGUAUCUAGAAAAUUGGCGAGCCACCAGAAGUGCCAUUCGAAGAGGAAGGCACCUCACUGAUCUGACCAUUCUUCUGAGGGAAGAAAUAGAGAGAAGAAUCAAACAUUUAUAUGGAUCUUUUGGGACAUGCAUAUUUUAUCCCAACGCCACUUUAUGUGGCUGUUUUGUUUCUCAACUCCAGUAUGCAGUAGUGUAGAUAUUCAUUUGCACUGAAACUUAUAUUUUGCCUUCUGAAUAUUGGAUGAGUGUGAUACAACGGAAGUUUCUUAUAUAAUCCACUAUAAUUUUGUUAGGCUUAAAGGGUCGCUUGAAUGCUCCCAUGGUUAAAUUAUUAUAAUCGUUGGGGGCAAUAACUUUUACCUAUAUGUAUUUGUACCAUGUAUUUGCACUUAUAUGUAAUAUAUUCCCCCUUUUGGCACUUAUAUGUACUAUAUUGUUCUAUUUUACCAUUUGGUUUAAUCCACAUGCCAUGUUGAGUUCUUUUGGUCCUCUUCAUCAGAAUGGAUUCACUCUUUUUUAUUGCUUGCUCAUCGUUGAUUUUUAUAUAUCUUUAAUGUAGCGUUUCGCAAAAAGGGAAGACAUGAUUGUGCACAUCAUUCUAUUUAAAACUUAUGUUCUCUACUGAAUAUUUCCUAACUGAUUUGUAUCAUUGUUAUGCAUUAGAUUUCAAUGUGCUUUCCGGUGUGCUUAAUCAGAGUGUUAAACAUUUCCCCUUAUGGCUGAAACAUUUCGUUCUCAGUUUACCAUGGCUACGCUGACCAUGAGAGAAUUGUAAGAAGGGUUUAGUGUUCGUCCGGGCCCAUGGAAAAUGUAGAAAAGUAUGAGUAAAGGUAUAUGUUUUGUAAGGUAUGUGUUCUAUGUUAGCGACAUUCUCCUGGAAGGUCAACGGAAACAAAAGGAAGUGUAUUACAUUUUAGGAACUACGGAGUCCCACUGCACUUGAUCCGUGAGCUCUACGAGACUUCUGCAGCUUCAGAAUCUUCAUUUCAGAAUUCAGACUAUGAGCGAUGCCACAUUUAUUAUUUGCUGUGAAGCGAUGAGCACAUCAAAGAAGCUGCUUUGUGGGCACUUGUUCUAUGUACAUUGUCGUAGAACUAUGUGGGCACUUUCCGUGAACAAAGGAUGUGCAGCAUCAGUACAACAACAUGGAGAUCAACCAGGUUUUGGUUCUUCAGCUUCAGAAGGAGCAACAAUGCAACAAGUGAGAACGUGAACAUGCGCCAAGCAAAACUUGACGCUACUGCUUCAGCUGCUUCCUUAUAUGGGAGAAUGUUUUCUUAUCCUCGAGCAAGUACACAGAAUAGUUUAUAUUUUCUGGAGUAGUUUAAAGGGCAAAGUUCUUCUCUAUAUGAAACAAUUUAUCUUUGGCAAUUUGCCAUAAAUAAUAUGUACCGACUAUUCCUUCUAUAUACAAUAGCUCCUGGUAUUCCUUAACUAUUGUUGUUAGUAUGGUAGUACCUAUAUGGUUAUAUCAGAGCUGAAUUUCUUUUUUCGUAACUCCAGGCAUGCUAUGCCUUUUUCUACCACAUACAAUUUCUUUUUUAGCUGUACUACCUAGAGUUCAUAGUCAUGUCAAUGUAUAGUUUUGUUUUCAGGCUCUAGAGCAUAAUAUAGGAUAAGGAGCAUCCA